rnacentral:lncRNA from 1 species
UACUUAUUGUGUUUUAUUUGUGUACUAUCAAUUCCAAGUUUACUUUCCACAGCAGUCACUGAGAGCACAGUCGCCUGAAGAUUUCAUAAUUAUAGCGAAAAAAUGUGGGAAAUAAAAUAUUUUUAGUAGUAUUAUAUAGAAUAACUAGUCCGAGAUUACUCUGACGUCCAACGGCUGUUUUGCCAGACAAGCUGGGGUCGUCCCCUGUCCCGCGGCCACAGCUUGUCUGGCAAAACAGUCGUUGGACGUCAGAGUAAUCUCGGACUAACUGAAAGUGAGAGAAGGUAUUUCACUUCGUAUCUUAUGAUCCGUAUCUUAUCACCGUUAAUUCUAGGAGGAACACCAUUUCUAACUCUUUAGAUAUUAAUUUCCUUUGGGUCAGUGGGCAUGACUCCUUUCCGUACACACUCCUCUGUUAAAAUUGAGAUCGUUCUUAAUAUAAUACGACAUUUAUCGACAUCCAACGAGUUAAUUUUUCUUGACGAGUCGUGUUGUACUUUGAUUUUGACGGGAAAUACUUUCGGAAGGGAGACAACUCGAAACGAUAAUAUGGAAGACUCCAUUUCGGCUGAAGGGGUGUUAUAGGUAAAUCUACAUUGAUUUUAAUUUAAAUGAUGCAUAUGAUUUUUAAAUUAUGCAACGACAAUAUUAAAUCCUCAAUAGCAGACAGACAUAGAAAGAAUCCC